GACGAACGCUGGCGGCGUGCUUAACACAUGCAAGUCACGGGGGCUCGCAAGAGCAACCGGCGAACGGGUGCGUAACACGUGAGCAACCUGCCGAUCUGAGGGGGAUAGCCGGCCCAACGGCCGGGUAAUACCGCAUACGUUCUCGAGGGGGAGUCCCCUUGGGAAGAAACCUCCGGGGCAGAUCGAGGGGCUCGCGGCCUAUCAGCUAGUUGGCGGUGUAAUGGACCACCAAGGCUUUGACGGGUAGCNGGUCUGAGAGGAUGGCCAGCCACAUUGGGACUGAGAGACGGCCCAGACUCCUACGGGAGGCAGCAGUGGGGAAUCUUGCGCAAUGGCCGAAAGGCUGACGCAGCGACGCCGCGUGUGGGAUGAAGCAUUUCGGUGUGUAAACCACUGUUGCCCGGGACGAACAUCCUCUUUCGAGAGGACUGACGGUACCGGGUGAGGAAGCACCGGCUAACUCCGUGCCAG
rnacentral:rRNA from 1 species